CCCUUUGUGGUACGCGGAGGACAUUACCGAGUUUACAACUCCCAAACCCCUGUGAACAUACCUAUACGUUGCCUCGGCGGAUCAGCCCGCGCCCCGUAAAAAGGGACGGCCCGCCCGAGGACCCCUAAACUCUGUUUUUAGUGGAACUUCUGAGUAAAACAAACAAAUAAAUCAAAACUUUCAACAACGGAUCUCUUGGUUCUGGCAUCGAUGAAGAACGCAGCAAAAUGCGAUAAGUAAUGUGAAUUGCAGAAUUCAGUGAAUCAUCGAAUCUUUGAACGCACAUUGCGCCCGCCAGUAUUCUGGCGGGCAUGCCUGUUCGAGCGUCAUUUCAACCCUCAAGCUCAGCUUGGUGUUGGGACUCGCGGUAACCCGCGUUCCCCAAAUCGAUUGGCGGUCACGUCGAGCUUCCAUAGCGUAGUAAUCAUACACCUCGUUACUGGUAAUCGUCGCGGCCACGCCGUAAAACCCCAACUUCUGAAUGUUGACCUCGGAUCAGGUAGGAAUACCCGCUGAACUUAAGCAUAUCAAUAAGCGGAGGAAGAAGGUGAAGUCGUAACAAGGUCUCCGUUGGUGAACCAUCCUAUUUUG
rnacentral:rRNA from 1 species